rnacentral:rRNA from 1 species
UACGUAGGGACCAAGCGUUGUCCGGAAUCAUUGGGCGUAAAGAGCUUGUAGGUGGUUUGUCGCGUCUGCUGUGAAAAUCCGAGGCUCAACCUCGGACUUGCAGUGGGUACGGGCAGACUAGAGUGUGGUAGGGGAGACUGGAAUUCCUGGUGUAGCGGUGGAAUGCGCAGAUAUCAGGAGGAACACCGAUGGCGAAGGCAGGUCUCUGGGCCAUUACUGACACUGAGAAGCGAAAGCAUGGGGAGCGAACAGG